CCUACGGGAGGCAGCAGUGGGGGAUAUUGCACAAUGGGGGAAACCCUGAUGCAGCGACGCCGCGUGGGUGAAGACGCGCCUCGGCGCGUAAAGCCCUGUCAGCAGGGAAGAAAAUGACGGUACCUGAAGAAGAAGCCCCGGCUAACUACGUGCCAGCAGCCGCGGUAAUACGUAGGGGGCAAGCGUUAUCCGGAUUUACUGGGUGUAAAGGGGGCGCAGACGGCGAUGCAAGCCAGGAGGGAACGCCCGGGGCCCAACCCCGGGACUGCUCUUGGAACUGCGUGGCUAGAGUGCAGGAGGGGCAGGCGGAAUGCCUGGUGUAGCGGUGAAAUGCGUAGAUAUCAGGAGGAACACCGGUGGCGAAGGCGGCCUGCUGGACUGCAACUGACGUUGAGGCCCGAAAGCGUGGGGAGCAAACAGGAUUAGAUACCCUGGUAGUC
rnacentral:rRNA from 1 species